UGCGGAGAGAGCCUGCCUUUCAUAAUCCCUGUAGCCAUGUUUCACAUUGUGGAGUUUCUGGAAACCCAAGAAGUUGAAGUUGUGCCAGCACUGUGGGUUGCAGAUGAAAUUUGUCAAUGGCCAGCUCACUACAAACCUGACGAAUUAGUGAAGGCCAUACGGAGCCAGGAGCAGCCUGGACACACAUGGGAUGCAUUUCAUGUUCGAAUUUUAUAUACAGCUGCAAACUACAAAAGUGCUCGACUAAAACUUCCUGAAGCUGAAGCCCACACUGAUCUUCAAACAGCAGAGGAAGACGAGGAUGUCAAUCCAAAGAAAAAGCGAAAACGCCU